rnacentral:rRNA from 1 species
UUUUGGACAAUGGGCGCAAGCCUGAUCCAGCCAUGCCGCGUGAGUGAAGAAGGCCUUCGGGUUGUAAAGCUCUUUCGGCGGGGACGAAGCGGUUCGUGCUAAUACCACGGACUACUGACGGUACCCGCAGAAGAAGCACCGGCUAACUACGUGCCAGCAGCCGCGGUAAUACGUAGGGUGCAGGCGUUAAUCGGAAUUACUGGGCGUAAAGCGUGCGCAGGCGGUUUGUUAAGACAGGUGUGAAAUCCCCGGGCUUAACCUGGGAAUUGCGCUUGUAACUGGCAGACUGGAGUGUGGCAGAGGGGGGUGGAAUUCCAAGUGUAGCAGUGAAAUGCGUAGAUAUUUGGAGGAACACCGAUGGCGAAGGCAGCCCCCUGGGCUAACACUGACGCUCAAGGCGAAA